AUUGAACGCUGGCGGCAGGCCUAACACAUGCAAGUCGAGCGGAUGAAGGGAGCUUGCUCCUGGAUUCAGCGGCGGACGGGUGAGUAAUGCCUAGGAAUCUGCCUGGUAGUGGGGGAUAACGUCCGGAAACGGGCGCUAAUACCGCAUACGUCCUGAGGGAGAAAGUGGGGAUCUUCGGACCUCACGCUAUCAGAUGAGCCUAGGUCGGAUUAGCUAGUUGGUGGGGUGAAGGCCUACCAAGGCGACGAUCCGUAACUGGGCUGAGAGGCUGAUCAGACACCCUGGAACUUAGACACGGUCCAGACUACUAAGGGAGGCCGCAGUGGGGAAUAUUGGACAAUGGGCGAAAACAUGAUCCAGCCAUGCCGCGUGUGUGAAGAAGGUCUUCGGAUUGUAAAGCCCUUUAAGUUGGGAGGAAGGGCAGUAAGUUAAUACCUUGCUGGUUUGACGUUAACAACAGAAUAAGCACCGGCUAACUUCGUG
rnacentral:rRNA from 1 species